GAUGAUGAAAACAUCGUUUAUCUCAGUCUUGAUUGUGGUCUGCCUUGCAGCGCAAGUAGAUACGGCACCUGUGGAUCGGAGACAAGUAUAUACUAGUAGUACUACUAGUACUACUUCUUCUUCUACUUCUAGUUCUUCUUCUUCUCCCGGAAAAAGACUAGCUAUUGAAGAACGAGCUACUUCUACUUCUACUUCUAGUACUUCUUCUCCCGGAAAAAGACUAGCUAUUGAAGAACGAGCUACUUCUACUUCUACUUCUAGUACUUCUUCUCCCGGAAAAAGACUAGCUAUUGAAGAACGAGCUACUUCUUCUUCUACUUCUAGUUCUUCUUCUUCUCCCGGAAAAAGACUAGCUAUUAAAGAAUGAGCUACUUCUUCUUUUACUUCUAGUACUUCUUCUCCCGGAAAAAGACUAGCUAUUGAAGAACGAGCUACUUCUUCUUUUACUUCUAGUACUUCUUCUCCCGGAAAAAGACUAGCUAUUGAAGAACGAGCUACUUCUUCUUCUACUUCUAGUACUUCUUCUUCUCCCGGAAAAAGACUAGCUAUUAAAGAAUGAGCUACUUCUUCUUUUACUUCUAGUACUUCUUCUCCCGGAAAAAGACUAGCUAUUGAAGAACGAGCUACUUCUUCUUCUACUUCUAGUACUUCUUCUCCCGGAAAAAGACUAGCUAUUGAAGAACGAGCUACUUCUUCUUCUACUUAUAGUUCUUCUUCUCCCGGAAAAAGACUAGCUAUUGAAGAACGAGCUACUUCUUCUUUUACUUCUAGUUCUUCUUCUCCCGGAAAAAGACUAGCUAUUGAAGAACGAGCUACUUCUUCUUUUACUUCUAGUUCUUCUUCUCCCGGAAAAAGACUAGCUAUUGAAGAACGAGCUACUUCUUCUUUUACUUAUAGUUCUUCUUCUCCCGGAAAAAGACUAGCUAUUGAAGAACGAGCUACUUCUUCUUUUACUUCUAGUUCUUCUUCUCCCGGAAAAAGACUAGCUAUUGAAGAACGAGCUACUUCUUCUUCUACUUAUAGUUCUUCUUCUCCCGGAAAAAGACUAGCUAUUGAAGAACGAGCUACUUCUUCUUUUACUUCUAGUUCUUCUUCUCCCGGAAAAAGACUAGUUAUUAAAGAAUGAGCUACUUCUUCUUUUACUUCUAGUACUUCUUCUCCUUGAAAAAGACUAGCUAUUGAAGAACGAGAUAUAACUUUUUCUACUUAUAGUUCUUCUUCUCCUUGAAAAAGACUAGCUAUUGAAGAACGAGAUAUAACUUUUUCUACUACUUCUUCUUCUACUACUUCUUCUUCUUAUAGAAUCUAAUCCCUGGCCCGUCGGGGGCACAGGCUACUGAAACACCCAGCACUACUAGUAGUUCUUUUAGUAACUGGUGGAAGUCUGGUCUUGGCGAUCAAAAGAACUUAGAAGAAUGUUAGAUAAAAAAUAAGUUUACUUUGGUUUAAUAACUUCUCAUACAUGAACCAAGUCCAUUAUAUCAAAUCUAUCACGUUUUUCUGAUCAUAUUUUAGUCGAUGCACGAUGAAAUGUUUCAUUGUAUUGGAUUUUAUCCCCAUUACAGACUUAUAUCAAAAGUACGAAAUUAUAUUAAAUGCCUUACAAUAGCAUGUUUAUAUAGCAUGUUUAUAUAGUACAUAUCAACAAAUAUUUCAAUUUGAA